rnacentral:rRNA from 1 species
AUUGAACGCUGGCGGCAGGCCUAACACAUGCAAGUCGAGCGAGCGGCGGACGGGUGAGUAAUGUCUGGGAAACUGCCUGAUGGAGGGGGAUAACUACUGGAAAAGGUAGCUAAUACCGCAUACCAUCAGAUGUGCGCAGGUGGGGUUAGCUGGUGGGUGGGGUAACGGCUCACCUAGGCGACGAGCCCUAGCUGGUCUGCGAGGAUGACCGGCCACACUGGAACGGAGACACGGCCCAGACUCCUACGGGAGGCAGCAGUGGGGAAUAUUGCACAAUGGGCGAAAGCCUGAUGCAGCCAUGCCGCGUGUGUGAAGAAGGCCUUCGGGUUGUAAAGCACUUUCAGCGGGGAGGCGUUACCCACAGAAGAAGCACCGGCUAACUCCGUGCCAGCAGCCGCGGUAAUAC